rfam:Medicago truncatula strain A17 chromosome 3, whole genome shotgun sequence.
GUCCCUUCAAAGACAUCUUAUAAAAUUAGAACAAUAUACAGAGAAGAUUAGCAUGACCCCUGCGCAAAAAUUCAUUUUCUUUUGGGUGAAAAUACAAGUCGUA